UACUAAAGUAUUUUUAUUUACCUCGAAUCCGGAAUCCCCCAACAGAAGCUAGCCAGCUCACUAGCUACUAGCUAGUAGUCAGCUAACCACUACUAGCGGUCAUCAGCUAACCUUUAGCUCGGAAAGCUCUCGCCAGUUUGUACAACACGACUCAAACCAGAGCAUACCGGACCUUUUUUUCUCUCCAUAUCCCCGGAUUCCUACCGCAAGCUCUGGAUAGCUAGCUGCUAUCCGAGUACUACUCCUGGCUAACGUCGGUCCGAAGCAAGCACCAAUUAGCCUGGAGCUAGCCCAUGCUAAGCCCUUUCUCCUGGCUAGCUAAAGAGGCCCAUCAGCCACUCCUGGGCUACAAUACCCGGACCCCUUCUACUGCCGGUACGGGGGACGGAACCCCACCGAUCCUUCACGACUGGACUACGACGUAAUCUGCUUCGAGGUGGUACUCAACUGGCCUCUACAUCGCGAUGUCCCCUGAAUGCCCAUCUGUUAGCCGCGGCCCGCUAGCUGCUAGCCGCGGCCCGCUAGCUGUCCAGAGCAUAUUGGACUGUUAGCUGUAUAGAUCCAUCGGCCAAUUUCUUGGGCCACUAUACCUAUUUUGCCAAUUGGACUUGGACCCCUCUGCUGAUCGGAACCCUACUAAUCCAUCACGACUGGUCUAUCGACGUCACCGCACAGACUUUCCUCAAACUUUCCUCUGAGACGUCCCUCUAAGGCCCUUCUGCUAGCUUGCUAGCCCCGGCCUUCUAGCUGUCUGAAUCGCCGUGUCUCCAGCCAGCCCAACCACUCACUGGACCCCUAUUGAUCACCCGGCUACGCAUGCCUCUCCUUAAUAUCAAUAUGCCUUGCCCAUUACUGUCCUGGUUAGUGAUUAUUGUCUUAUUUCACUGCAGAGCCUCUAGCCCUGCUCAAUAUGCCUUAACCUACCAUUUCGUUCCACCUCCCACAAAUGCGGUGACAUCACCUGGUUUAAACGUCUCUAGAGACAAUAUCUCUCUCAUCAUUACUCAAUGCCUAGGUUUACCUCCAAUGUACUCACAUCCUACCAUACCUCUGUCUGUACUUUAUGCCUUGAAUCUAUUCUAUUGCGCCCAGAAAUCUGCUCCUUUUACUCUCUGCUCCGAACGCAGUAGACAAAGUCCUGAUGGCCUUUAGCCGUACCCUUAUCCUACUCCUCUGUUCCUCUGGUGAUGUAGAGGUUAAUCCAGGCCCUGCAGUGCCUAGCUCUACUCCAACUCCCCAGGUGCUCUCAUUUGUUGACUUCUGUAACCGUAAAAGCCUUGGUUUCAUGCAUGUUAAGACCAUGGUGCUUGCCUACGGAGCUGUGAGGGGAAUGGCACCUCCGUACCUCCAGGCUCUGAUCAGGCCCUACACCCAAACAAGGGCACUGCGUUCAUCCACCUCUGGCCUGCUGGCCCCCCUACCUCUGCGGAAGCACAGUUCCCACUCAGCCCAGUCAAAACUGUUCACUGCUCUGGAACCCAAAUGUUGGAACAAGCUCCCUCACGACGCCAGGACAGCGGAGUCAAUCACCACCUUCCGUAGACACCUGAAACCCCACCUCUUUAAGGAAUACCUGGGAUAGGAUAUAGUAAUCCUUCUAACCCCUCUCCCCCCAAAAAUAUAUAGAUGUACUAUUGUAAAGUGGUUGUUCCACUGGAUAUCAUAAGGUGAAUGCACCAAUUUGUAAGUCGCUCUGGAUAAGAGCGUCUGCUAAAUGACGUAAAUGUAAAUGUUAACAUUAGAAGCCUCCUCCCAAAAGUUGGUUUUAUUCACUGCUUUAGCACACUGCCAACCCGGAUAUCCUAGCUGUGUCUGAAUCCUGGUUUAGGAAGACCACCAAAAACCAUGAAAUUUCCAUCCCUAACUAUAACAUUUUCCGACAAUAUAGAACUGCCAAACAGGGUGGUGUUGCAAUCUACUGCAGAGAUAGCCUGCAGAGUUCUGUCUUACUAUCCAGGUCUGUAUCCAAACAAUUCGAGCUUCUACUUUAAAAAAAAUCCACCUUUCCAGAAACAAGUCUCUCACCUUUGCCGCUUGCUAUAGACCACCCUCUGCCCCCAGCUGUGCCCUGGACACCAUAUGUGAAUUGAUUGCCCGCCAUCUAUCUUCAGAGCUCGUGCUGCUAGGUGACCUAAACUGUGACAUGCUUAACACCCCGGCCAUCCUACAAUCCAAGCUUGAUGCCCUCAAUCUCACACAAAUGAUCAAUGAACCCACCAGGUACAACCCCUAAUCCGUAAACACGGGCACCCUCAUAGAUAUCAUCCUAACCAACUUGCCCUCCAAAUAUACCUCUGCUGUUUUCAACCAAGAUCUCAGUGAUCACACCUUUCUAAUCGACCUGGCCCGGGUAUCCUGGAAGGAUAUUGACCUCAUCCCGUCAGUAGAGGAUGCCUGGUUAUUCUUUUAAAAGUGCCUUCCUCACCAUCUUAAAUAAGCAUGUCCCAUUCAAAAAAUGUAGAACCAGGAACAGAUAUAGCCCUUGGUUCUCUCCAGACCUGACUGCCCUUGACCAGCACAAAAACAUCCUGUGGCGUUCUGCAUUCGCAUCGAAUAGCGCACGUGAUAUGCAACUUUUCAGGAAAGUUAGGAACAAAUAUACACAGGCAGUUAGGAAAGCUAAGGCUAGCUUUUUCAAGCAGAAAUUUGCAUCCUGUAGCACAAACUCAAAAAAGUUCAGGGACACUGUAAAGUCCAUGGAGAAUAAGAGAACCUCCUCCCAGCUGCCCACCGCACUGAGGCUAGGAAACACUGUCACCACCGAUAAAUCCACUAUAAUUGAGAAUUUCAACAAGCAUUUUUCUAUGGCUGGCCAUGCUUUCUACCUGGCUACCCCUACCCUGAUCAACAGCCCUCCACCCCCCACAGCAACUCGCCCAAGCCUCGCACAUUUCUCCUUCACCAAAAUCCAGAUAGCUGAUGUUCUGGAAGAGCUGCAAAAUCUGGACCCCUACAAAUCAGCCGGGCUAGACAAUCUGGACCCUCUCUUUCUAAAAUUAUCCACCGAAAUUAUUGCAACCCCUAUUACUAGCCUGUUCAACCUCUCUUUCAUAUCGUCUGAGAUUCCCAUUGUCAUGACUGUCCUGAUCAUGUCAGGUUACAGGAGACCACAACCCUACAGAUUAUCUCUCAACCCCCAACAGAGGAGGAGAGAUCUAGGAGUAUGAGGAUGUGGGGGUUUUAUGACCCCUCACGCCCAUGAUAAAGCUUGGGCCACAGAGAAAUUCCUUUGGCCUCACUAUGGAGAACUGGCCUCAGGACAUUAAACAUGCAAUAGAGGGACUUUGGAACAAUGGUUUCCGUCAGCCACAAUGGUGGUCAGGACGAUAGAUGGAAUAUGAAAAUGUAUGUAAUUUUUGUACUGUUAUUAAAGGUUAAGAGAUGACGUUAUUAUGAAAACAUUGUACCUUUAAGAGUUUUCCCAGUAUAUGCCUGAUGUUUAUACAUUGUACGUUGUGUGGAAAAUAUCAAAAUCAAAGAGAAUGUUUUGGUAAGGAUGAAAUGUGAAGUUAGUGUCUAAAAUUGGAUUUGAGUAAAAUCUAGGCCUUGCUCUUAACUUGGUACGCCCAGAGAAUUGCCCUAAAGGCGGUUACGCCCACUUCUGACCCGAGGGUAUAAGACAGGAGAGUGAAGAAUUAACAUGCAGUCUAAAGUGACCCCAGGCUGCAGCCACGGUCAAAAUGGUCAACGAACCCCAAAACGAAACACAAGGAAGAAGACAAAGGAAUCUUUUUUUACACAAGCUACGGAUGAGUAGCUGUGUCUAAGCGGGUGAAUUCAAGCCGAACCACCUAGCCUCCACUCUCCAUCGAAUCGUGGUAUCUACGCUGUUUCAUUCCUACGCUGUGAGCUCUGAGCUACAGAGCUGCCUCCCUCAGACGUCACUAUCAGAGAAAGGGGGAGAAAUCAGACCACUAAGCCAAGAGGACACUGACAUUGUGAGGACAACCAGAGAGUUGCGCCGGAGAAGUGCGUCGUUGAGACGCCUAAACGACCCACGCGGAGCUUCCCACCUGAGACCUCCAACACGUAAUUAAAUCAUUAUAUUAUGACCCAUAAGAGCAGCAGUUCGGGGCAAGGCUAGGUUUAAAUAAGCAUAGCUGACAAAUGAACCAAAAUGUAUAUUUCUCUCGUGUACUUUCUUUGUUUCUCUCUCUUUUAAAUCCCCAUUUUGGGUAACACGUGCCAUAGUGUGUUGGCCCGUUAUACUAAGUCCUAAUCAAUAGCCUAGACUGUGUUUUGUGUAUGUGUAUUUUUAUCAUCAUUUUAGCUUGCUAGUAAAUAAAUAAUCAACUAAGAUUGGUGUGGUAAACUCAUAUAAUCCGGGUAAAAUAAUAACCCGUCGCACACCGAUACAGAAACAACACGUACAUAACAAACAAACAAUCACCGACAGAGAAAUGAGGGGAAGCAGAGGGUUAAAUACACAACAUAUAAUUACUGGGAUAUGAAACAGGUGUGUAAAGAGACCAGACAAAACCAAUGGAAAAUGAAAAACUGAUCAAUGGAGGCUAGAAGGCCGGUGACGUCGAUCGCCGAACACCCCCCGAACAAGGAGGGGCAUCAACUUCAGUAGAAGUCGUGACACCCUGACUAACCUGUGCCCCCGCACAUUGACUCUGUACUGGUACCCCCUGUAUAUAGCCUCACUAUUGUUAUUUUACUGCUAUUCUUAAAUUAUUUGUUACUUUUAUUUUAUUUUUUUAAAUUUAAAGUAUUUUAAACUGUAUUGUUGGAUAAGGGCUUGUAAGUAAGCAUUUCACUGUAAGGUCUACACCUGUUGUAUUCAGCAUUUCACUGUAAGCGUCAUGAUUUUACGGUGUUCCUCUUAGCACCCAGAGGGCUUUUCAAUCGGCUGUAAAUGUAGUCUAUCCAUGCUACCGAUUAUUAACGCCAAAUACGUGGUUUUAUCAUUCGGCACAUGUGACAAAUAAAAUGUGAUUUGAUGCUACACAUCACAACUGCUGCUACCAGGCUCUUAUUAUGGUAGAUAAAUACUGCACAGUUUGAACACUUGCCCCCCAAUCUCGCUUCCCCAAAACACAUGUACAUUUUGGACUAUAAAUUUAGCCUUCCAGUGUUAUAGCCAUUUACUUUAUGUUCGUAUUCUUAUAUUUGUAUUAUUUCUUAUUGUAUUGUCGAAG
rnacentral:lncRNA from 1 species